rnacentral:lncRNA from 1 species
CCACCCCCUGGCAGCUCAGACCCCGCUGCCCUCCCCCCUAGACCCCCUCCCCAGCCCCCGGCCCCGCUGACCGAUGCGCUCGGGCUCCUCGGAGGCGGUGCCGGCGAUGCCGCUGCUCUCCAGCCCGAAGGCGGGGUCGGCCUUGCCCGUCACCUUGGCCGCCUCCUCCACCUUGCGCACGUGAGCCUCCACCAGCGCCGUGGGCACCUCCUCCUUCAUCUUGGAGAAUUCCUCUGCGGGCACAAAUCCUCAGCGGGACCCCCAGAGGGACCCCCCGGAGCCCCCCAGCCCCGCACAGCCCGUGGGAGGCUCGGCCCGGCCCCUCCGGGCUCCUCCUGGCUGCUUAUAGAAUGUUCUGGAAGGCUCAUCCCAUCCCCUGGGAGUUGCUGCAUGUCCCCAGAGGAAUCUGCACAGACCUGGUGGUCUCCCCAUGUUGCUCAUCCCUCUCCCCAUCAGACUGAGCCCUGCAGGACAUCCCACAGGACUCAGCCCCUCUCCCUGUCAGAGCCUUCCCAUUCCCCUACAGGAACCCCUACAGGGCUCAUCCCUCUCCCCAUAUUCCUCAUCCCACAGGACUCAUCCCACCCCUCACAGUGCCUGGUCCCUCUCUGUGUAGGACUCAACUCUCUCCCCUCUCCCCACAUCCCUGUCCCCCCUCCCUAUAGGAUUCAGUAUUCUGCUUCCUAUAGGACUCACCCACUCCUCAUGAUCCUUUCUCCCCAAAUCCCCAUCCCCUCUCCCCACAUCCCUGUCCCCUCCCCAUAUCCCUGUCCUCUCCCACAUCCCCAUCCCCUCUCCUUAUAGGACUCACCCACUCCCCACAUCCCUGUCCCCCCUUCCUAUAGGACUCACCCUCUACCCUUUUCCUGUCCCUUCUCCCCACAUCCCCAUCCCCUCUCCCCAUAUCCCUGUCCCCCCUCCCCACAAUCCCUAUCCCCUCUCCCUGUAGGACUCACUCUCGACCCUCUCCCAGUCCCCUCUCCCCACAUCCCCUCUCUCCACAUCCCUCUCCCCUCUCCCACAUCCCUGUCCCCUCCCCAUAUCCCCAUCCCUUCUCCCCAUAUCCCUGUCCCCCCUUCC